GGUGUGUGAGGGAGUGCGGCUUAGUUCUCAGUAACCAUGGGUAUCUCACGAGACUCUAUGCACAAAAGGCGCGCCACCGGUGGCAAGCAGAAAACAUGGAGGAAGAAGCGAAAGUACGAGCUUGGCCGUCAGCCUGCUAAUACUAAGAUCUCUAGUAACAAGACAGUCAGACGCAUUCGUGUUCGUGGUGGCAAUGUUAAAUGGAGGGCACUAAGAUUGGAUACAGGAAAUUAUUCAUGGGGUAGCGAAGCUACCACCCGUAAGACUCGUAUCCUUGACGUGGUCUAUAAUGCCUCAAACAAUGAACUUGUUCGUACACAAACACUGGUCAAGAGUGCAAUUAUUCAAGUUGAUGCUGCACCAUUUAAACAAUGGUACCUCCAGCAUUAUGGUGCUGACAUUGGUAGGAAGAAGAAGGGGGCCGCUAAGAAGGAUACUACUGAGGAAGGAGAAGCUGCUGCUCCCGAGGAAACUAAGAAGAGCAACCAUGUUCAGAGGAAAAUUGAGAAUCGCCAAAAGGACCGUACACUUGAUCCUCACCUUGAAGAGCAAUUUGGUGGUGGUAGGCUUUUGGCCUGCAUCUCUUCACGCCCUGGUCAAUGUGGCAGAUGUGAUGGGUACAUUUUGGAGGGAAAAGAGCUUGAGUUCUACAUGAAGAAACUACAGAAGAAGAAAGGCAAAAGUGGAGCUGGUGCUGCUGCUUAACUGGUGCAAUCAGACUAGUUUCAUAUGGUUCUCUAUUGUUGUAAUUCCAAUUUUGGGGAUAUGUGAUUUUGUAUUCAGUACCUUUUAUUUUCUCUCUUGUACUCUUGCCAAAUUUUAGUAUGAUCUCCUUGACUACUACUCUUUAGCAUUAUCAGUUUUUCCAUGGUCAGUCCCACUUUCUCUUGAAGGUUUUGUGAAUUAAGUGGGAAUGAUAUUCAUGGUCAGUUUUGUCUGGUGGAGUGGUUUCCUGCAUUGCUAUUUAAUAGAGCAGUGUGAUUAAAUGUUGCCAUAAUGAGAGUUUUUU
rnacentral:misc_RNA from 1 species